CAUGAAGACUCUCAUUAUCAAAUUCCCUCCCCACCGGGACGACAAGGGUAUGGAGCGCCAGGGGGGCGAUGUUGAAGUUUCGAUUUGACCGAUAUACAUAAUGCUCUUUCAACCAAAGAUUUAGUUUUCAAAAUUUCCUUAGCACAAAUUUUUGUAUCAGUUGCCAUGUGGACGUCAUAAUUAAAGACGCUUGCGGAGCAAGUAUAUAGAAUUCAGGGCCAGCACAUGCAAAUUGUCAGAAUCUUUUGUUGAACGAGACACAUAACAAUAGCAGCUUUUGUAAUUCAAUGAUGUGGUAAUGAGUGGCCCUGUGUUCUAUAAUUUAGCCACGCUUGAUGCUUCCGUCUAUUCGGUGUUUUUACUUGUUUUGGUGGUUUCGCUUGUAUCAGCCGUCUCGUUUCGGUCGUUUCGUUGGUAUUGGUGAUUUUGCUUGGGUCGUUUCAUUGGCUUCCCUCGUUUCCGUGGUUGCGUUUUGUUGUUUCGGAUGUCACCCGAUGAUAUUUGACGUCAUUUGCCCUUGUUUAAAGCCGCUCCGCCGCUCCACUCAACGAGUUGAUAGUAUGCGUCUGUCUGCACCGAAGCAAUCUCCGAAUGUUCAUGCGUUUUCGUGUCGCCUGCAUAAACAAGUUUCCUUCCUUCCUUACACUCAGUGCACUGGUUCGCGUCAACGUUAACGUUGCUUGCAUUGCAAGUGGGUAGAGUGAAUUUUUCACUAAGGAAAAUCUAACUUGCAAAGCACAGAGUGUGAAGCACAAGGACCAAGAAUUGAAGU